rnacentral:rRNA from 1 species
GAUGAACGCUAGCGGCAGGCUUAAUACAUGCAAGUCGAGGGGGCAGCAAUGUCACCGGCGAACGGGUGCGUAACACGUAUGCAACCUACCUAUAUCAGGGGGAUAGCCCGAGGAAACUCGGAUUAAUACCGCAUAAUAUUAGGAUCGGCAUCGAUUUUAAUUGACAGACUUAUUGGAUAUAGAUGGGCAUGCGUAGGAUUAGCUAGUUGGUAAGGUAACGGCUUACCAAGGCUACGAUCCUUAGGGGCUCUGAGAGGAGUAUCCCCCACACUGGCACUGGGAUACGGGCCAGACUCCUACGGGAGGCAGCAGUAGGGAAUAUUGGGCAAUGGGCGAAAGCCUGACCCAGCCAUGCCGCGUGCAGGACGACGGCCCUCUGGGUUGUAAACUGCUUUUGAAUGGGAAGAAAGGUAUGCUUGCGAGCGUAAUUGACGGUACCAUUAGAAUAAGCCACGGCUAACUACGUGCCAGCAGCCGCGGUAA